GGAAACGACUGCUAAUACCGCAUACGCCCGUACGGGGGAAAGCGAGGGGACCUUCGGGCCUUGCGCGAUUGGAUAUGCCCAGGUGGGAUUAGCUUGUUGGUGAGGUAAUGGCUCACCAAGGCGACGAUCCCCUAGCUGGUCUGAGAGGACGACCAGCCACACUGGAACUGAGACACGGUCCAGACUCCUACGGGAGGCAGCAGGUGGGGAAUUUUGGACAAUGGACGCAAGUCUGAUCCAGCCAUUCCGCGUGCAGGAUGAAGGCCCUCGGGUUAGUAAAACUGUCUUUUGUACGGAACGAAAGGUCUCUCCUAAUACGAGGGGCUCAUGACGGUACCGUAAGAAUAAGCACCGGCUAACUACGUG
rnacentral:rRNA from 1 species